rnacentral:rRNA from 1 species
GGAUUAGGCAUGCAAGUCGAACGAGGAUAUAUCCUUCGGGGUAUAAGCCGAGUGGCGCAAGGGUGAGUAAUGCAUAGAUUACCUGCCUCUAGGAUAAGGACAACUUUGUGAAAACGAAGCUAAUACUUAAUAAUACAAAAGAAAAUAAUUUUCUUUUGUCAAUGGGAGGGUAGCAAUACCUUUUGCCUAGAGAGGGGUUUAUGUCCUAUCAGCUUGUUGGUGGGGUAAUGGCCUACCAAGGCGAAGACGGGUAGCCGGUCUUAGAGGAUGGUCGGCCACACUGGGACUGAGACACUGCCCAGACUUCUACGGAAGGCUGCAGUCGAGAAUCUUUCGCAAUGCCCGAAAGGGUGACGAAGCGACGCCGCGUGAGUGAGGAAGGCCUUAGGGUUGUAAAGCUCUGUCAGGAGUUAAGAAAUAUAAGUGUGUUAAUACCACAUUUAUUUGACGAAGGCUCCAAAGGAAGCCACGGCUAACUCUGUGCCAGCAGCCGCGGUAAUACAGAGGUGGCAAGCGUUGUUCGGAAUUAUUGGGCGUAAAGAGCACGUAGGUGGGUUUGUAAGUCAGAUGUGAAAGCCUUCUGUUCAACGGAAGAAUUGCAUCUGAAACUGCAAGUCUUGAGUGUAGGAGGGGAGAAUGGAACUUCUGGUGGAGCGGUGAAAUGCGUAGAUAUCAGAAGGAACGCCGGCGGCGAAAGCGAUUCUCUGGCCUAUUACUGACACUCAGUGUGCGAAAGCUAGGGGAGCAAACGGGAUUAGAUACCCCGGUAGUCCUAGCCGUAAACGAUGGGCACUAAGUAGAGGGGAUUACCGAUGUUCUCUCUGCCGUAGCUAACGCAUUAAGCGCCCCGCCUGGGGAGUACGGCCGCAAGGCUAAAACUCAAAAGAAUUGACGGGGGCUCGCACAAGCGGUGGAGCAUGUGGCUUAAUUCGAUGCAACGCGAAAAACCUUACCGGGGCUUGACAUGGUAGAAGUAGGAACCCGAAAGGGUAACGAACGGUAUCCAGUCCGUAGCUAUCACAGGUGUUGCAUGGCUGUCGUCAGCUCGUGUCGUGAGACGUUGGGUUAAGUCCCCUAACGAGCGAAACCCUUGUUUUUAGUUACCAGCGGGUUAUGCCGGGUACUCUAGAAAGACUGCCGUCGUCAAGACGGAGGAAGGUGGGGAUGACGUCAAGUCAUCAUGGCCCUUAUGCCCCGGGCUGCACACGUGCUACAAUGGUCGGUACAAACGGAAGCGAAGCCGAGAGGUGAAGCGAAUCCUAAAAAGCCGAUCUCAGUUCGGAUUGGAGGCUGAAAUUCGCCUCCAUGAAGUUGGAAUCGCUAGUAAUCGCGGAUCAGCAAUGCCGCGGUGAAUAUGUUCCCGAGCCUUGUACACACCGCCCGU